CCUACGGGAGGCAGCAGUGGGGAAUAUUGCACAAUGGGCGCAAGCCUGAUGCAGCGACGCCGCGUGAGGGAUGACGGCCUUCGGGUUGUAAACCUCUUUCAGCAGGGACGAAGCGCAAGUGACGGUGCCUGCAGAAGAAGCACCGGCCAACUACGUGCCAGCAGCCGCGGUAAUACGUAGAGUGCAAGCGUUGUCCGGAAUUACUGGGCGUAAAGAGCUCGUAGGCGGUUUGUCGCGUCGUCUGUGAAAACCAGCAGCUCAACUGUUGGCUUGCAGGCGAUACGGGCAGACUUGAGUAUUUCAGGGGAGACUGGAAUUCCUGGUGUAGCGGUGAAAUGCGCAGAUAUCAGGAGGAACACCGGUGGCGAAGGCGGGUCUCUGGGAAAUAACUGACGCUGAGGAGCGAAAGCGUGGGUAGCGAACAGGAUUAGAUACCCUGGUAGUCCACGCCGUAAACGGUGGGCGCUAGGUGUGGGUUUCCUUCCACGGGAUCCGUGCCGUAGCUAACGCAUUAAGCGCCCCGCCUGGGGAGUACGGCCGCAAGGCUAAAACUCGAAAGUAGUAGUGACGUCGUGACGNGUCGACGAGGACACGACGGAGGAGAGG
rnacentral:rRNA from 1 species